rnacentral:rRNA from 1 species
CAGUCGCCACGGUAAUACGUAGGUGGCAAGCGUUGUCCGGAAUUAUUGGGCGUAAGGGGCUCGCAGGCGGUUUCUUAAGUCUGAUGUGAAAGCCCCCGGCUCAACCGGGGAGGGUCAUUGGAAACUGGGAAACUUGAGUGCAGAAGAGGAGAGUGGACUUCCACGUGUAGCGGUGAAAUGCGUAGAGAUGUGGAGGAACACCAGUGGCGAAGGCGACUCUCUGGUCUGUAACUGACGCUGAGGAGCGAAAGCGUGGGGAGCGAACAGGAUUAGAUACCCGAGUAGUCCCUGUCUCUUAUAC